rnacentral:tRNA from 1 species
GGGGUUGUAGCUUAGUGGUAGAGCACUUGCCUCGCAUGCAUGGAACACUGGGUUUGAUUCUCAGCACCA